UGCAUAUCCAAAUAAGCGGAGGAAAAGAAACCAACAGGGAUUGCCUCAGUAACGGCGAGUGAAGCGGCAAAAGCUCAAAUUUGAAACCUCCGGGAUUGUAAUUUGAAGAUUUGGCAUUGAGAAAAGCUAACCCAAGUUACUUGGAAUAGUACGUCAUAGAGGGUGACAACCCCGUCUGGCUAACCGUUUCUCAUGUAUUGCCUUAUCAAAGAGUCGAGUUGUUUGGGAAUGCAGCUCAAAGUGGGUGGUAAACUCCAUCUAAAGCUAAAUACUGGUGAGAGACCGAUAGCGAACAAGUACUGUGAAGGAAAGGUGAAAAGAACUUUGAAAAGAGAGUGAAAUAGUAUGUGAAAUUGUUGAUAGGGAAGGGAAUGAGUGUAGAGUGGUUGAGGUUUCAGCUGUCCUUUGGGACUGCGUACUGCCGACGCCGAGUCAUUGUUAGCGGGGGGGUGAGGUAUAAACGGGUUGCACAUUUGUGCUUCUCACCUCCCUCAGCCCCUGCCAUCGACGACAUAAUACACCCAUUCCACCCGUCUUGAACACGGACCAA
rnacentral:rRNA from 1 species